rnacentral:rRNA from 1 species
CCCUUAGAUGUCCUGGGCCGCACGCGCGCUACACUGAUGCAUGCAACGAGUUUAUAACCUUGGCCUGAAAGGUCUGGGUAAUCUUUUGAACGUGCAUCGUGAUAGGGAUAGAUUAUUGCAAUUGUUAAUCUUGAACGAGGAAUUCCUAGUAAACGCGAGUCAUCAGCUCGCAUUGAUUACGUCCCUGCCCUUUGUACACACCGCCCGUCGCACCUACCGAUUGAAUGGUUCGGUGAAGAUCUCGGACUUCGAUAUUUAUUCUUUAUUGAGUUUAUAUUGUGGGAAGUUAUCUAAACCUUAUCAUUUAGAGGAAGGUGAAGUCGUAACA